rnacentral:misc_RNA from 1 species
GAUGAAGAACGCAGCGAAAUGCGAUACGUAAUGUGAAUUGCAGAUUUCAGUGAAUCAUCGAAUUUUUGAACGCACAUUGCGCCCGCCAGUAUUCUGGCGGGCAUGCCUGUUCGAGCGUCAUUUCAACCAUCAAGCCUUCGCUUGUGUUGGGGCCCCGCGGCUGCCGCGGUCCCCUAAAUCCAGUGGCGGGCUCGUCGUCGUACCGAGCGCAGUAGACAUCCUCGCUCCGGGAACCCGACGGGUGCCGGCCGUGAAACCCCCCACAUCAAGGUUGACCUCGGAUCAGGUAGGAAUACCCGCUGAACUUAAGCAUAUCAAUAAGCGGAGGA